AACUAACGCUGGCGGCGUGCCUAACACAUGCAAGUCGUACGAGAAAGCCGGCUUCGGCUGGUGAGUAAAGUGGCGCACGGGUGAGUAACGCGUGGAUAAUCUGCCCUUAAGUGUGGAAUAACGUACCGAAAGGUGCGCUAAUACCGCAUAAUGCCUGGCAACACAAGUUGUCCGGCCAAAGAAGGCCUCUGUUUACAAGCUUUCGCUUCAGGAUGAGUCCGCGUACCAUUAGCUUGUUGGUGGGGUAAUGGCCUACCAAGGCUGCGAUGGUUAGCUGGUCUGAGGGGAUGAUCAGCCACACUGGAACUGAGACACGGUCCAGACUCCUACGGGAGGCAGCAGUGAGGAAUAUUGCGCAAUGGGGGCAACCCUGACGCAGCAACGCCGCGUGAGUGAGGAAGGUUUUCGGACUGUAAAGCUCUGUCGAGCGGGAAGAAGUGUACCAUGGCUAAUAUCCAUGAUAUUUGACGGUACCGCUAGAGGAAGCACC
rnacentral:rRNA from 1 species